CCUACGGGAGGCAGCAGUGGGGCAUAUUGCACAAUGGGGGGAACCCUGAUGCAGCGACGCCGCGUGAGUGAAGAAGUAUUUCGGUAUGUAAAGCUCUAUCAGCAGGGAAGAAGAUGACGGUACCUGACUACGAAGCCCCGGCUAACUACGUGCCAGCAGCCCCGGUAAUACGUAGGGGGGAAGCGUUAUCCGGAUUUACUGGGUGUAAAGGGAGCGUAGACGGGAGGGCAAGUCUGGAGUGAAAGCCCGGGGCACAAACCCGGGACUGCUUUGGAAACUGGCAUGCUCGAGUGCUGGAGAGGUAAGCGGAAUGCGUAGUGUAGCGGGGAAAUGCAGAGAUAUUAGGAGGAACACCAGUGGCGAAGGCGGCAUACUGGACAGUAACUGACGUUGAGGCUCGAAAGCGUGGGGAGCAAACAGGAUUAGAUACCCCAGUAGUC
rnacentral:rRNA from 1 species